UUUCAAAUGAUUCAUCAAUAAAUAUAUUUUGUCUCUGUGCACACAUAUGUGUGUAUGCACACAAAUGUCAAAUGCAUAUGUGGCAAAAUGUUAACAAUUGGUGAAUCUAAGAUGCAAUGUUCAUUUUAUUAUUCUUCUUAUUAUUAUUUUGAACAGAGUCUCACUCUGUCACCCCGGCUGGAGUGCAGUGGUGCGAUCUCAGCUCACUGCAACCUCCGCCUCCCGGGUUCAAGCGAUUCUCCUGCUUCAGCCUCCUGAGUAGCUAGGACUACAGGCACGGGCCACCACGCCUGGCUAAUUUUUUGUAUUUUUAGUAGAGGUGAGGUUUCACCAUGUUAGCCAGGCUGGUCUCGAUCUCCUGACCUCAUGAUCCGCCUACCUCAGCCCAUUAUAUUAUUUUUAAACUUCUCUGUAGGUCUGAACAUAUUCAAAGGAAAAAGUUGGAACAAGAAAGAGUGACUCAGGAUGGAAACCUUGCCACCAAGGUGGGGUUACGUGGGGUCUGUGCCUUGAGUAGUAAUGCAUAACCCAGAAAUCAGCCCUAAGCAGAGACACUGAGGACAAUGGCGCGUGUUGGGCACUGCACAACCCUAAAGGAGCCAUUUACAUAGACAAUCGUGUCAAUGAUGCUUCCCCCCAUACCCUGUUCAACUGUCCACAGUCAUCUGUGCCUAGAGGCAGUAUAUGCUGAACUAGACCGAAGCCUAGAGUGGCCAGAUUCUGCAUGCAGGAGUGGGGAUUGGAGUAAACUAAAUCAGUGUUUUCCAAGGUGUAGAUCAUGAGGGAUUACUAAGUAUUCUCUGAGACUGGAGGCGUUGUGAGGGCAGGCUGUGUAUGGCUUUCUUCUGUUUCACCAGUGCAGAGCCCAGUAUUUAGCACAAAAUAGGGAGUCAAUAAUUUUUGUUUUUGCAAUAACAAGUUAACUGCUACCAAAUACAUUUAAGAAAUAGUGCAUGAAACAGGAUUGCUAGAAUAAGAUUUCUCAGAGACUUUGAUACAGUAAAUCCAUGGGUGAAUCUCCAAAAGGAGAACACAGGAGGCAAUGUUCCUGAAACUAGCUCAACAUGGAAACCUUCAACCACAAAGUGGCUCACAGGCAUAUUGCUAUGUCCUGGAUGCAACGUGUAAAAUGUAUUUCUUGUGGGUCAUGGUCGAGAAAGUUUUAAAUUUCCAUUUUUAGAAAAAAGUCCAUGAGUGUUUGUUGCUGAGAUUUCUUGAGCUUCCUUCUUCUGCUCUUUCCAUGGCUAACUAUUUAGCUAGCUGUCAAGCCUCCUGCUGCUGUCUUCCCUUUCUUGCUUCAGUAAAUCUGAGUCUGCUGCCACCCAAGAGCUGUGAAGUUUCUGCUGCUCCUCUUCAGUGGUUCCACGGUUCCAUUUGCUGCACUAUUGAGAAACUUUCUCAGUUUCUGGUCACAGGAACUAACUUAAAUCACAGUUCCACAUGGCUGGGAAGGCCUCACAAUCAUGGCGGACGGCAAGGAGAGAGUGUGUACAGGGGAACUCCCCUUUAUAUAACCAUCAGAUUUCGGGAGACUUA
rnacentral:lncRNA from 1 species